rnacentral:rRNA from 1 species
AUUGAACGCUGGCGGCAGGCCUAAUACAUGCAAGUCGAACGAGUGGCGGACGGGUGAGUAAUGUCUGGGAAACUGCCUGAUGGAGGGGGAUAAAUACUGGAAACGGUAGCUAAUACCGCAUACCAUCGGAUGUGCCCAGAUGGGAUUAGCGAGUAGGUGGGGUAAAGGCAGACCUAGGCGACGAUCCCUAGCUGGGCUGAGAGGAUGACCAGGCACACUGGAACUAAUACACGGUCCAGAAUCCUACGGGAGGCAGCAGUGGGGAAUAUGGCACAAUGGGCGCAAGCCUGAUGCAGCCAUGCCGCGUGAAUGAAGAAGGCGUUCGGGUUGUAAAGCGCUUUCAGCGAUGAGGCGUUACCCGAAGAAGAAGCACCGGCUAACUCCGUGCCAGCAGCCGCGGUAAUAC